UCCUCUCAUCAUCAUCAUCACUGGUACGUGUCUUUCUUGUGCUGAAGGUCUCAGAAAUGGACACAGAGAUGGGGUCUGACAAGAGCACAGAAGAGAAAAGAAUCAGUUCCCAUGGCCUGCUGGCCACACUUCUUUUCAUGCAACUCAGGAUACUUUUAGGGAAGAAGGACCUAACCUUUUUGGCUGAAACUGUUGAUUCCAGUCUAUGGACUCAGAGACUGGUAAAAUCACACUGGCUCCAGAUGUUCAACUUUCUGCCCCUGCUACAGGAGGUCAUCAGUAGCAUGGAGUCAGCUUUGGAUAUCUCCCAAUCAGAAACAAAUAGAAGUUAGCCCAGUGGGACCUUAGCUAGGCUGUGUCUGCUCUUCCACUGAACAAUUACUGAUUUACUGUCAGAAAAGACCUGAAUCUUAAUGAGGGAUUUAAUCAGGAUGUAAUUUUUCAUCUGGAACCCCUUUGGUGGAAAUCAGGCUUUGACUUGAAUAAAGGGAAGAUGCUUUUUGAGAAGGCAAACUGUGCAGUUUGCCCCUCUGAGAGCACCGUGGAGCAGAAAUGUGAGCUGUAAAAAUCCUGCUGUGCUCUUGCACAUUUCCAGAGAAACCAGGUCAAAGAUUACACCUCUGCAGUAUUUUUUUUUUUCUUUUGUGAUAGACAUUCAUUAUUUUUAAUGCAUUUUACUCAGAUUUCAAUCAGCAUGAUACUUAAAGAAAACAGCAAACCAUAAUAAACCAUCAGCCUUCUGCCCUCAGAAAACAGGAGCACUUCACAUUCUUAAAUGACACCUGGAAAUCUGAACAGGCGCAGUGGAGCCUAUCAUAAAGGGAAAAGGGGAUUUGGACUAUUCAGAAGUAAAUCCUGAGAUUAUUUUUGCAUGAACCUGUAAGAAUGAUAUAGUAUGUAUGUAAGUGUGUAUAAACCAGAUGCUGCUCCUGUCUCCUUCCAUGCUGAGUGUACUUUGCUUCAAAUCAAUGUUCUUAUGGGCUUCUAGGGGGGCAGGAGCAAUCCAGCUAGGCACAGAAAAUGAAGGCUUUUCAAACCAAAGUAUGGCAUCUGAUUAUGUGAGGUUUAAAUAAAACCACAGAUGAGACAGCCCUGUUUUAGCAUUAAAAGGCACAGCAUUAUACCUUAUUCCCAGUUUGGGCCAAAUUCUUUGAAGUGCUGAAUUUCUUAGGUGUGACUAGUUCUGUUGGGGUCUGAAGUCACAUCAGGCCCAUAGAAAUGAAUGGGUGAUCUAUUUCUGAAAGGACUUGGCACAUACAAGGGGAGAUACUGUAAAAACUUAUCUUGUACACUGUUAGUUGAAAUAACCUGCAGAAUUCAU